UGGGGAAUUUUGGACAAUGGGGGCAACCCUGAUCCAGCCAUUCCGCGUGAGUGAAGAAGGCCUUCGGGUUGUAAAGCUCUUUCGGCAGGAACGAAACGGCGGGCUCUAACAUAGCCUGUCACUGACGGUACCUGAAGAAGAAGCACCGGCUAACUACGUGCCAGCAGCCGCGGUAAUACGUAGGGUGCGAGCGUUAAUCGGAAUUACUGGGCGUAAAGCGUGCGCAGGCGGUUCCAUAAGACAGAUGUGA
rnacentral:rRNA from 1 species